UGUGGAGCUAAACGCAGACCCCCGGCCCAGACAUAGGAGCAGAAGAGCCGAAGUGGGAUUCAGGGGAAGUUCUACCGCUUCCCACCAAUGAGAUAUUGCAUGUUUCUUCUCACCCGAUUACCAGAGAAGGCUAUGCCCUCAGUAGCCACCAGUCCCAUGAGGAUAAGACAUGUGUGGAGCAAGCCAGGAGAGGCACUCAACCUAGGUCAGCCUAGCCGCAGUUGACUGGCAGCUCCACAGUUUGGGAAUCCCAGGCAGGAGACAGAAAGUGACAUGAAGAGACCCUAAAACUCCAAAUCUUCUUAAAGCUUGGGAGAAACUUUAAUGUUUUGUACACACCUUUGUUUCUCCAAAACAGAGGCAGGGUCUAGCACUUCAUACAAUUGGGUCUCAACUAGCCCACCGAAUCCUCUGCCUCCACAGAGGGGACACAGCUUCUCUCGUCUGCCUGGGGUGCGACAGCCUCAGCCAACAGAGCCUCAGGACCCACAAUCUGAGAUGCCCAGAAUUCAGCCCAGACACUUUGGACAGUGGCUAAAGCUACGCUUCAGAAGUUUGGUAAUUUAUUCCCCCACCUCAGUCCUCUAGAUGGCUUCAUGAGAAAAGAGAAACCAACUCAGAGUCCAAUUCCUCCCACCCAACUUCAAGAGGACAGACAUGCAGCCCAUGAAACAGAACUGGCAGAGCAAUGAAGUGUUUGCAGCCACGUAGAGAUCAGACCCUCAGCACGGAGCCCCAGACCUCUCCAGAUGGCCCAGCAGCCCAAAUCUAACCCAAACCCAGACAACUGAAGUAGUGUCUUCUCUCAACAGGCUCAGAUCUAUCCAAACUCAUUCAAUACAGUAAAUAAUCAUCAUGAAGCCAAAGCCAUGGAAACUCAACUCUGGUGUCCGCUCCUCAUGCGUCUUGUGUGACUAUUUUCCCUCUGACCUUUCUUCUUGGAUGGAAUGAAUGACUUCACUUGCUUCCAACCACAGUGACUAAGACUCAAAGAUGGUGUUUGCUUGGAAAUAAAAUUUAGUUUCAUAGCAUCAUCCUGCCUCUAUGUGGAUCAUGUGUCUCUGGAUCUCCUUGUAUCACUGAAAAAGACAAAGGGAGACCUGGAGACAGGAUGCUUAUGGGAAGUCCACUUCAUGUCAUGGCAGAGUGAGAACUUUAUUCAUUUAUUCAACAAAUAUUUACUGAACACCUGUUCUGUGACACAAACUGCGCUAUGUACUGGAAAUACCAUGAACAAUAUAAACAAAGUCCCUU